CACAGCUGGGAAAAAGAAUGGCAGAAAAGGGGUAGGGCAAGAAGUCAAGGGUACGUUUUUUCUAUUGUAUUCUUAAAUAAUGAUUUUGCCAUGUUAGGAAAAACUGCUAGAAAAAACGUGGAUUUUUAGAAAAAAUUACAAAAUUGCCAGAAACUGUUGCCAAAGAAUGUGUAUUUAGGUUUUUUUGUUUAAAAGCGAACCCCUAGAAGUAUCUUUCAUGUGCUUGUGUUUCCUCCUUUUCCAUUCUAAGAGUACUAGCAAGGUAUUUUUUUGGACCUUAUCACCUAGAAUACAUAGAUAAGACUCUUGAUUGGACUAGAAAAUAGCAUGUUUUGGAGCAGGGUUUUGUCAGGUUAAUUUGAUAAUAAACAUGGAGCCUUAAUCUGCUUUCAGAGUUGUAUGUAUGUUAAAAAAAGGAGUGGGGUGUAAAAGAAAGGGAGUUAGAAGAAAAGCCAUAAUGUUUUUUUUCUUUGAGGGAAUCGCCAUAACUGAUGUUGGCCAAUUUUGACCCAGUAACAGCUGUAUGUAGCUGUUACACACAUAGCCACUUGGUAGAUCAGUACUAGUCUUGAAUCAAAAUGCACUAGAUAAAGCUUUUAAAAGCAUCUGUGUUAAAAAAAGAAACAGAAACAUACUGCAGACAAAGGUGAUGGCUUAUGUGACUUUAUUAAAUUCAGUGAAGAGGUGAGACCAAACACUUGUCAUUUAUGUAUUUUCCUUUUCAUGCACCUGCCAUGAUUUUCUGGGGUAAAGAUUGUGGUAUGUGUCCAGUGCUGGGCGGAGGGGGGGGACACUUUUAUUAAGAGAAAAAACAGCCUUCACCACGAAGUUCCUCUGACAUUAGUUAACUGCUUUGUUAUUGAAUGCAUCACAAAUAUUUCAGCUGUCUGAUUGGUGAAAUUAUUCUUAGUGGAAUUCAUUCAGGAUAGACAAGAGUUAUCUAUCCUCUUUGCAAAGUGUGUUCAGCCAGGUACCACAAGGGAACUCAUGAUGUAAGCUCCUUCAAAUGUGCUACUUGACAGGUAACUUCAUCUUUUUUGAUGUAGGAGUUUGCAAUCUCCCUGAGGUGUGGGUGAAUGUUACGGUGUCUGGCUUCAUGUCUGUUGGAUCUAUUAUAAUCAGUUUCUAUUUGUAGUGAAUGAGUUCCUAAUUUAUACAUGUUAAUAUUGGCAAAGCCUGUUAAAAUGAGAGUUUGAAUUGAAUUGACAGAGGGUACUUUACUUACUUCAUCAUUGGGUAAAUUAUGUAACAGAUGCUGAAGAAGGGAAAUACUGUUUAGCUUUGUUGUCUAAUUUACGACUAGUGACAAUCUGAAGUAAAAUAUAAUGGUCUUCCUUUUUUUUUUUUCAGUUUGAUGGAAGGUAAAGAGGCAUUGCAGUUGCACUCCUAUUUGGACUGCUCAGAAUGAUGGCAGUAUUGCCACCCAGCGAAUCAAGGACAUUGCAUUAUAUAGACAGGGCUAUAAACGGUCAAUCUGCUUUUGUGUCGAGGCCUCUUCGCUAUAAUCAGCUUACACUCCAUUUGUUUAGCAUACCAAGCAAACCUGCUGUGACAGUGUUUGUAUAGUGUCUUAUUCGCACUGUCCUUUUAAAAGUUUAAGGACUGCUUAGCCACAUGCCCACCUACUGUGCUAGCGCUGCUGUAACAGUUUUCCAACAGCUAUUUCCUUCUCCGAUUUUCUGAACAACAGGUAAUCCCUGUGUAUUUGAACGAGAAUUAUGGGAUUGUUUGACAAGCUAGCGGGAUGGCUUGGGCUGAAGAAAAAGGAGGUUCACGUUUUGUGCCUUGGCUUGGACAAUAGCGGCAAAACAACAAUCAUAAAUAAACUUAAACCUUCAAAUGCUCAAACUCAGGACAUUGUUCCAACAAUAGGAUUCAGCAUAGAGAAAUUCAAGACUUCAAGUUUGUCUUUCACAGUGUUUGAUAUGUCAGGUCAAGGGAGAUACAGAAACCUCUGGGAACAUUACUACAAAGAAGGCCAAGCCAUUAUUUUUGUCAUUGAUAGCAGUGACAAAUUAAGAAUGGUUGUGGCCAAAGAAGAGCUUGACACCCUUCUGAAUCAUCCAGAUAUUAAGCACCGUCGACUGCCUAUUCUCUUCUUUGCUAACAAGAUGGACCUCAGGGAUGCAAUAUCAUCUGUGAAAGUAUCUCAGUUACUGUCAUUAGAAAACAUCAAAGACAAGCCCUGGCAUAUCUGUGCCAGUGAUGCUCUUAAAGGAGAAGGGUUACAAGAAGGUGUGGAUUGGCUCCAAGACCAAAUUACACAGUGAGUACUGAUGCUCUGUCUCAUAUUUGCCUUUCAUUUACCUCCUUAAAGUACUCAAAAGAUCAUGUCAGUUUCUCCAACAGAAGUGUAUGCUAUGAAAUAUUAAUGCAUACUCUUGCAAACAGUGUAAGGCUUUCUUGUAAACAAUAAUAAUACCAUUUCCUGCACUUCAAUUUAUUACUGUAGUAGUUCAGCUUGUUCUUUAAUUUAUUCUUACUGUCCUGUUACAGUUUUACGUAACCUAAGGUUACAUAUCAGGAAAUGGUGAAUAAGCAGGCUAGCAAAAUAAGCAAAGUACAGAAAUGCAGUAGUUUUGAUUAUUCAACUUCAGCUCUUUAAUCUAGAGCCAAAAUAAGAACAUCUUACAGUAUAAUGAUCAUAGUUUAUGCAGACAUUCAUAACUGCAUACAAAAUAUCAGAUCCAGCUUAGGUGAUGUAUUGCAUAUACAUUUUUAUUUGCAAACUUGGUAUGGAUGUUGUAUAUCCUUCUGUUGUAUGUUGGCAAGGUUCUGGUGUCUCUUAUCCUCCCAUGUACUGCUAAAUGCAUAGAAUAGCGAAGUGUGGUAUUGUUUUGGUAGACUCAUUCUAAAUUUAGCUCCCUAAUUUACGUUGCUUACACUCCCAAGUGUUUUGCGUCUCCUGUUCCAACCUGAACCUGGAAGACGGUUUCCCUGCACUGGCGUGUCCUCUGCUGUGGCAGCCGCUAGAUGUCAGCCCCGAUCCAGAAUCCAGAGUCAACCAAACUAAUUACCUUCAAACUGCAGCUAAAUGAUAGCCGUUGUCCCUGACUUGACAGAUCUGCAUUUAUCUAUCAGAUCCAAGCAAUGAAGACAUGAGAGAUAAAUAAAGGAUAUAUGGCAUUCUUUUACAAACUUUGUCAGUAGGUGUACAAGAUCCUUGGAAAGGAAAAAUGAUUUAAAGAAAAUGAACAGUUCAGCUAAAAUAUACUGUGUUGACUUGUUUCGUUUUAGUAUCUCUUCCAGGAAAACUGAAUGUAGGCAACAUAGCACCUCAGGUAUGCACACUGAUGAAUUAAAUUGAAUCUUGUAACUGGAGAGCCUAUUUUAAAAGAAGAAUUGUGUUAACAAUAAACAUCUGCAUUCAUUUGAGUUUUAGAUGAUAGCCAUCAGGAAAUGCCCCUCUGUUUUUUAAGGGGGCACCUUUUGACCAAAUGGAAAUAUUUAUUUUCCAGAGAAAAAAAAAAAAAUCAGCACUUCCUGAAAUACAGCUGCAUGAGAUAUGUACUAAUUUUACGUGCCCAUUUCUAGGUAUUUCUGCAUUUUUUUUAUUGUAAAGUUUGACAUUCGGUUUUUAGUAACCAUCUACAAUAGGCUUCUAGAGGAAUAUUUUGAUUUAAAAGACAAGGAUUCAAAUAUUCAGUGUAUUUGCUAUAGAUGAUUGCAGAUGUUUUUAAGGAACUGAUUUAAUGAAAUGUUAUGAAUUGAUUGUGUGAUAUGCUAUGGUUAUUGUUGCAUUCCCAUUAAUAAAACUUCAAAUAUACAA